rnacentral:rRNA from 1 species
AACGAACGCUGGCGGCAGGCCUAACACAUGCAAGUCGAGCGAGGACUUCGGUCCUAGCGGCGGACGGGUGAGUAACGCGUGGGAACGUGCCCUUUGCUACGGAAUAGCCCCGGGAAACUGGGAGUAAUACCGUAUGUGCCCGAGAGGGGAAAGAUUUAUCGGCAAAGGAUCGGCCCGCGUUGGAUUAGGGAGUUGGUGGGGUAAUGGCCUACCAAGCCGACGAUCCAUAGCUGGUUUGAGAGGAUGAUCAGCCACACUGGGACUGAGACACGGCCCAGACUCCUACGGGAGGCAGCAGUGGGGAAUCAUAGACAAUGGGCGCAAGCCUGAUCUAGCCAUGCCGCGUGAGCGAUGAAGGCCUCAGGGUUGUAAAGCUCUUUCAGUGGGGAAGAUAAUGACGGUACCCACAGAAGAAGCCCCGGCUAACUCCGUGCCAGCAGCCGCAGUAAUAC